GGUCGUAUAAAGUGAGUUGUCGUUCCAUUUGUGAUACCUUAAAGCAUUCAUGUCUUUUUACCGUCAGCCUGAUUAUUGGUAUUCGAUGUAUCGGAAGACGCCGUGUAGGGCAUAAAAUGUCCUACUUCUUGUUUACGUAUAUUUAAUUUAGUAUAACGGUAUAUAAAAGUCUGGGAGCUUGUAAAAUUCUAUUUUAUCAACCUUAAUUGAAGAUGGUUUUAAAUUUUUAAGCGCAUUUUAUGUGCGAAAGGUCAUCCGUCGUGCGUCAAUGGUUCAGAACAGGAAUGAAAAGGACAAUGUGUGUGUUUUCGUGUACGUCCGAUAGUAAAAUCGAUGAAAAUCGGGCGGAUUUAGUGAGGGUUAAUACAUAUACCAGGUUAUUUCCUUGACACCCUCACAGGGACAUCCCUAUGGGGUGCAUCAAUGAAAUAACCCGGUGUACCGUGAAUUUUUUUAACAGCGAAACGACCGUGCGCCUGAGGCAGGCAACCAAAGUUACAGCUCAUGUUCAGGCUGAGCACCGUAUCCCGCGAUGGGCAUAA